GAUGAACGCUAGCGGCAGGCUUAAUACAUGCAAGUCGAGGGGCAGCACAGAUAGCAAUAUUGGGUGGCGACCGGCAAACGGGUGCGGAACACGUACACAACCUUCCUUUUGGUGGGGGAUAGCCUUUGGAAACGGAGAUUAAUACACCAUAAGAUAUUGGAAUCGCAUGGUUUUGAUAUUAAAGAUUUAUUGGGAGAAGAAGGGUGUGCGUAUGAUUAGGUAGUUGGUGAGGUAAAGGCUCACCAAGCCGACGAUCAUUAACUGGUGUGAGAGCACGAUCAGUCACACGGGCACUGAGACACGGGCCCGACUCCUACGGGAGGCAGCAGUAAGGAAUAUUGGCCAAUGGACGGAAGUCUGAACCAGCCAUGCCGCGUGGAGGAUGAAGGUCCUCUGGAUUGUAAACUUCUUUUAUAUGGGGCGAAAAAGGGCCAUUCUUGGUCGACUGACGGUACCAUAUGAAUAAGCACCGGCUAACUCCGUGCCAGCAGCCGCAGUAAUAC
rnacentral:rRNA from 1 species